rnacentral:lncRNA from 1 species
AGAAAUUGGGCAUGGAGUCUCGGCUGGUGAGUGGUGCUAGUGCUUGCAAAGACAGCGUUGCGGCUGCUCCUGCACGUUCCUUCUUAGCGCAGCAGCGGCACAUCACCAACACCCGAAGAAACCUCUCUGUUAAGGUCCCAGCUGCAGCAUCUGACUAGUCUGCAAAGCAAACACAACGGAAGUGCCUCAGAAUAUCUGUACCCCAAGAAACUACCAGAUAGAAAACAAAGGUUAAGAUGCUUGGUAGCAGCUAGUCUUAUUUUGGUUUCACUUUGAGACAGGGUCUCAUAAUCCUGAACUGGCAUAGAAAUGACAGUGUGUUCAAGGAUGACCUUGAACAGCGGAUCAGUCCUUCCUGCAGUCUCUGCACGCUGGUGGGAUUAACGGAAGUAGUUGUAGACCACAUGGCAGGUUUGUAUAGUUCUAGGGGUCAAACUCAGAAGCUCUGCUCAUCGAGCUGCAUUCUCAACCUCACAAUCAACUAUAUUUAAGUCAGAUUAUAUCAAAUUAAUAUUUUCAGCUUACUUAGAAAGCAGAGCACAGUAUCAGCUCUGUCUCUGGGCAGGACAUUGGAGUAGUUGGAAGUGUGAUGAAGCGAAUACUUGUCUUGAAAUGGCAUCCUGUGAGGGAAAGCAAAUGCAUAUUCCAACUUUAUGUUUUUAGUUGUAACAGCAAGUCAAGUUAAUUUGCAUAAAGUAAUGGGUAGUUUGUCAUUUAAUAUCUAGAUUUGCUUUAUGGAAAAGUUUCCUGUUACACAUGUGGAGAAAAACUGUGCAAGGUGAAUUCCUUAGUCUGGUGUGUAUAGUUUCCUCUCUUUGCAAAUUCUGCCCUCUAGAGGAUGCUUCAGCAUGCUGUAGAAGCUAUAAUGCUUGGAAAACUGCUGUUGCAGUGACUUUGUCUGUAAAAGUGACUCAUUAGAAAUUUGCAGCUUCUCUGAGUUGUAUGCCAGUUUGAACAUGUACUGCUGUGAAUGAGGACUGAACUAUUAGGAUAGGAAGUAAACUGACAUUUGUGUUUCUGAUGAAAAGCAAGCUACACUUUGCAAUAGCCACAUGCUUUGGAGCAUGGUGUUCUUGUGGGCAUUGCUUUCUAAGAAGGAGUAUAUCAUGUAUAAUUUUGCCUCUUUAUUGAAAAGAAAUAGUGAUGGAAUAGCUUAUAACCAUUUUGGUUUCUGCUUGCCUCUAAGGAGUGUCUGGAGCUGUAUUUGUGGCAUUCGGUUCAUUUCUGCCCAACAUUGUUUUUUCCAGAGGUGUUACUUUCCAAUUUGGGGUCACUUUUUAAAGUCACAGCUUUGGAAUAUUAGUUGUUAAAUCCCAUUGCUUAAUGUAGCCACAGGUGGUUUGCUCUUGAGUCAGUCACACAUCCAACACUUUGUAGCCACGUUUCCAUCAUUGUUGAGAGUUUGUUGAGAGUUCAUGUGCAGCGAGUCACAAUCUUGGUUUUUGGUAACUUGAAGAAAUUCUUUGAUCCUUAGACUACAGAUUUAAGAAGUGUUACGUCCAUUUCACUUGUACAGAGGAAUCAGAUGGGGAAAGGAGUGCAGCAGACACAAGGGAGACAACAGUGUGCUUUCCCAGAACAUUGCCAGUCAUUGGGUGAAGGUGUAAACUUGCAGGCUGCAUGACCCUUGUUGGGUCAGCUUCUCACCUCUGCCCUCAUCAUAGCAUGAAAGAAGGGAUAUGUAAUAUAUAAACAAAAAGGGGGUGGUGGUGGCUGAGUAAGCCAGAUUGAGCUGGCAGGCUGUGGAGCUGUGGUCUACAUUUUAUUCUUAGUCCUUCAUAAAUAUGAGUAUUGUUCUAUUUGCAGUGUUAACUCAUUUAGAUAAUUGCCUGUAAAUCCUUGCCCAGUAAUUCUUAACCACUUAAAAUAACAAGAAUUUCACAAUGAUUUGGGGUCUUUGAGAUUAGUGGCAUCUGCCAGGAUAUUUUGUUUUAUCAGGGUUCCUUCUGUUCACUACCUCUUAGAUUUUGAUGAUUCUUGUCUACAUUUUACACUGUUGGUUUGUAUUUUUGUAUGUUUAUGGUGUCUGCUUGCCUGUGUCUUUUAGUAAAAUAAGACUUUAAAAUUACUUAGCAUGCUAUUUAACAUUUUCUAAAAAUUAUGACAUUUGGGUAUAUUUUUGUCAAUAAAGACAUUGAUGGUAGUGUUUGUAUUUGCUUAUAAUUGAGAUUUUACAAGUUCCCUUUUCAUGGAACUGACUGUAAAACGUCAACUUCAAUAAAUUUAUGUUUCCAAUAUAAUUGCUCAUAAAUUUGUAAGUAAUGUAGCAUAAAUAAGAAUAUAUGGAUAGUUUCUUUUUUCUUAAUUAAACAAGCAAAUUUUCUGAUUUUUCUAGUUUUAAGUAGAAUUUUGAAUGUUUGAUACAUGUUUAUACAAAACUAGUGUAAAGUUCUAUAUCAUCUAGAUUAAUUAUAGAAAUUCAGCUGUAACCAGGGUGAGAUUCUUUCCUUGUAUAAUUUAUGCAGUGAGACUGCUGCCCAGCCAGGUAGAAAUCAGAUCUAGAACCAUGACUUCUCCAAGUGUAUUGAAGGGAAGAUUGAGUGCAUAAAAUGGAUUUGACAAAAAAAUGUGUGUUGCAGUGACUAUAAAGUUAAAAACAACCUUGAAUUUCAAGUGGCUGUUCCUCGACUGAUACUCCUUUCUCUUUUUUGGAUAUAAUUAUGACACUGAUGUUUAUCUUGGGAUAAACUUAAUGUAUUGAGAAAUAUUUGAAGUUUAUUCUAUUUUUUUAAUGAUCUGACUAAUGAUUUAGUAUAAGUGAAAAAAAAAAUGUCUUGCCUAGCAACCUCUAGCUGAGUAUCCCUUAGUAAUAUCUGGUCUUUGAUGACUGGAUGUUAUACACUUCACAACCACACGUACUUCUGUAUAGUGGUAUAUCUGGCAUGUGGGGAGUGACUGUGGUUUAUGCCAGAGUACUGACAAUUUGUGUAAAAAUGAAUGUAAAUGACUUGUUAUACAUACAGUCUUACUGUGAUCCUGUUUGUUGCACACAUUUAUAAAGCACAAGUCAUCAGAGGAAAUAGUGUGUAGUUACUAAACUUGAAGUUUCAGUGAAGUGUUUAGUUUAUUAAAAAGGUCCUUUCUAUUUUCUAUGGCAAAUGCUGUCACACUUGAAAACUAGAAGAAGCAAUACUUGAUUUAUUUUUGUAAGUAUUUAGAAUAUUAUUUUGAAUAAAUAAUUGUCAAUAAAAUUGUGCAAUGUUUUACGC